UACGUAGGGGGCAAGCGUUGUCCGGAAUCACUGGGCGUAAAGCGCGCGCAGGCGGUCAUCUACGUCUGGGGUGAAAGCCCCGGAGCUCAACUCCGGGAUUGCCUUGGAUACGGGAUGACUUGAGGAUCGGAGAGGCAAGGGGAAUUCCACGUGUAGCGGUGAAAUGCGUAGAGAUGUGGAGGAACACCUGUGGCGAAGGCGCCUUGCUGGCCGAUUUCUGACGCUGAGGCGCGAAAGCGUGGGGAGCAAACAGG
rnacentral:rRNA from 1 species